CGCAUGGUGAGGGUUGGGAAAGUUUUUCGGUCUGGGAUGGACUCGCGGCCUAUCAGCUUGUUGGUGAGGUAAUGGCUCACCAAGGCGACGACGGGUAGCCGGCCUGAGAGGGCGACCGGCCACACUGGAACUGAGACACGGUCCAGACUCCUACGGGAGGCAGCAGUGGGGAAUAUUGCACAAUGGGCGAAAGCCUGAUGCAGCGACGCCGCGUGGGGGAUGAAGGCCUUCGGGUUGUAAACCCCUUUCAGCAGGGAAGAAGCGAAAGUGACGGUACCUGCAGAAGAAGCGCCGGCUAACUACGUGCCAGCAGCCGCGGUAAUACGUAGGGCGCAAGCGUUGUCCGGAAUUAUUGGGCGUAAAGAGCUCGUAGGCGGUUCGUCGCGUCUGCUGUGAAAGCCCGAGGCUCAACCUCGGGUCUGCAGUGGGUACGGGCGGACUAGAGUGUGGUAGGGGAGACUGGAAUUCCUGGUGUAGCGGUGGAAUGCGCAGAUAUCAGGAGGAACACCGAUGGCGAAGGCAGGUCUYUGGGCCACAACUGACGCUGAGGAGCGAAAGCGUGGGGAGCGAACAGGAUUAGAUACCCUGGUAGUCCACGCCGUAAACGGUGGGCACUAGAUGUGGGGCUCUUUCCAUGAGUUCCGCGUCGCAGCUAACGCAUUAAGUGCCCCGCCUGGGGAGUACGGCCGCAAGGCUAAAACUCAAAGGAAUUGACGGGGGCCCGCACAAGCGGCGGAGCAUGCGGAUUAAUUCGAUGCAACGCGAAGAACCUUACCAAGGCUUGACAUAUACCCUCU
rnacentral:rRNA from 1 species